GACGAACGCUGGCGGCGUGCUUAACACAUGCAAGUCGAACGGAAAGGCCCUGCUUUUGUGGGGUGCUCGAGUGGCGAACGGGUGAGUAACACGUGAGUAACCUGCCCUUGACUUUGGGAUAACUUCAGGAAACUGGGGCUAAUACCGGAUAGGAGCUCCUGCUGCAUGGUGGGGGUUGGAAAGUUUCGGCGGUUGGGGAUGGACUCGCGGCUUAUCAGCUUGUUGGUGGGGUAGUGGCUUACCAAGGCUUUGACGGGUAGCCGGCCUGAGAGGGUGACCGGCCACAUUGGGACUGAGAUACGGCCCAGACUCCUACGGGAGGCAGCAGUGGGGAAUAUUGCACAAUGGGCGGAAGCCUGAUGCAGCAACGCCGCGUGCGGGAUGACGGCCUUCGGGUUGUAAACCGCUUUCGCCUGUGACGAAGCGUGAGUGACGGGAAUGGGUAAAGAAGCACCGGCUAACU
rnacentral:rRNA from 1 species